rnacentral:rRNA from 1 species
GACGUAGGGCGCGAGCGUUUGUCCGGAUUUAUUGGGCGUAAAGAGCGUGUAGGCGGCCACACAGGUCAGCUGUGAAAACUCGAGGCUCAACCUCGAGACGUCGGUUGAAACCGUAUGGCUAGAGUCCGGAAGAGGAGAGUGGAAUUCCCGGUGUAGCGGUGAAAUGCGCAGAUAUCGGGAGGAACACCAAUGGCGAAGGCAGCUUGCUGGGACGGUACUGACGCUGAGGCGCGAAAGCGUGGGGAGCAAACAGG